GCUAUGUCUGCUGUUGUUGACCUUGCUUGAUAUUUUGUUGCAAAGUUGUCGGCCUGCUAGUGUUUGAUUACAAGUAAUAAAAUCAGAACAAAUAUUGCUUUUAAAUCUGCCCUGCAAUCUACAAAAAUAUAGAUUAAGAAGCAAAACUCAACAUAGCUGAAAUAUAUUAAGGGGUCUUGGAGAAGUCUGCGUGUGCACCGCUACCAGGAAGCCAUGAAAAUUCAUCCAUGUGCCUACACAGGACACACAUAAAGUGGAAAGUUGAAGUCAUAAUAAUGGUGGGACUUUCUGAGCCUUUUAAGCUUUUGGCCAGAAGAGAGGGACCAACGGAGAGUGGCUACAAUUAUGCAAUGGAAAAAGACAAGGGAAAGCUGGACUGAACGGAAGGAAAAGAAAAGAAAGGAAAGAGGAGAGCAUUAUUUAAAAGAAUGGAAAACAGCACUAUGGGAAAACCUGCCACUUUGAAAUAAGAAAGGAAGAAACACAAAAGCAGAGCAGUGGGCCAGACCUGUGGUACAUAGUGCUACUCUGGGAAAAGGCAAUCCGGCGCCUGGAAAGAAACGUUAUGUCAUCCAUCCCACGUGAUGCUGUGUUGUGCUUCGCUGCCAUGGUGACGGCGAAGAUGAUCAGGAGAAGAAAAGUGGGGUAGCAGCAGCCAUGACUGUUUGAGCUCAAGAAAUGUGUUUGGGAGGUUACACCACCGGUCAACUUCUCCAUGGAGCAUAAACACUGAACCCGUCAGGUGCUGCUAGAAGAUUGCAGCCUUUAAGCAACAAAUAA